rnacentral:lncRNA from 1 species
CCUUGACCCAUUGUCCAUCAACCUUUUUGUAUUUCAUCCUCUUCAAAGACUUCUUAUUGUCUGUAUCAUAAUGUUGAAGCAUCUUUCUUAGUUCUCCUUCUAAGUUUACUCCAUAAUCUUUGAAAAUCAAAGUCAAGAACAUCCCACAAGGUAGAGCUGGCUUUCUCCUAAGAGCAACUUCUUGCAUUACCUUUAAAACAACAGUCGA